AACGCGAAGAACCUUACCAACCCUUGACAUCCUCAGCUACAUCCAGAGAUGGAUGGUUCACUUCGGUGACUGAGUGACAGGUGCUGCAUGGCUGUCGUCAGCUCGUGUCGUGAGGUGUUCGGUUAAGUCCGGCAACGAGCGCAACCCACAUCCCUAGUUGCCAGCAGGUCAAGCUGGGCACUCUAUGGAAACUGCCCGUGAUAAGCGGGAGGAAGGUGUGGAUGACGUCAAGUCCUCAUGGCCCUUACGGGUUGGGCUACACACGUGCUACAAUGGCAGUGACAAUGGGUUAAUCCCAAAAAACUGUCUCAGUUCGGAUUGUCGUCUGCAACUCGACGGCAUGAAGUCGGAAUCGCUAGUAAUCGCGUAACAGCAUGACGCGGUGAAUACGUUCCCGGGUCUUGUACACACGC
rnacentral:rRNA from 1 species